rnacentral:rRNA from 1 species
GACGGGGGGUGCAAGCAAUACUCGGAAUCACUGGGCGUAAAGGGCGCGUAGGCGGCCUAGCAAGUCUGGUGUGAAAGCCCAGGGCUCAACCCUGGAAGGGCACUGGAAACUGUUAGGCUUGAGUUCCGGAGAGGAGGGGGGAAUUCCCGGUGUAGCGGUGAAAUGCGUAGAUAUCGGGAGGAAUACCGGUGGCGAAGGCGCCCCUCUGGAUGGAAACUGACGCUGAGGCGCGAAAGCGUGGGGAGCAAACAGG